ACGCUUAGCAUUAAUCACACAUUUUUUCCUCUCUGCUGUAGUAUUUGCUACAAUGUGUUCAUGUGACAAUCCACCUAUACUGCUCGAUAAAAUGCCUUAAAACAGUGCGGUAAAAUUGGCCCCAUCCAUGAAGGCACAAGCAUUGGCCAUGGAACUACUGCAUUACCUUUGGAAGAAUAUCUAGUGGAAUCAUGAGUUACUUGCUUUUAUUAUGAUCUUCUAACUCCAUUAUGGUUUUAAAUGCCACUUUGAAGCUUAGAGGAGUUCACUUGAGGAAGAUGGCACAGCAACUAAUGCAAACUGUAUGGGGAGGAGAUGUUAGGUAUGCAGAUUCUCUUAUUGUUAGUAGGAAUGUCAAGUUCUCAAGGGGCUUAUGUUAGUGUAGCCAUCAUAAUGUUGAAAGAGGAAAUGCAUCUUCUGCAUUUGAUACAUGUGAUUUACCUUAU